UACGUAGGGGGCAAGCGUUGUCCGGAAUCAUUGGGUGUAAGAAGCGUGUAGGCGGCCCGAUAAGUCCGCUGUGAAAGUCCAGGCUCAACCCUGGAAUGCCGGUGGAUACUGCCGGGCUAGAAUCCGGAAGAGGCGAGUGGAAUCCUGGUGUAGCGGUGGAAUGCGCAGAUAUCAGGAGGAACACCGGUGGCGAAGGCGGUCUCUGGGCAUUACCUGACGCUGGAGGAGCGAAAGCAUGGGAGCGAACAGG
rnacentral:rRNA from 1 species